GUCCACGCCCUAAACGAUGAUGACUAGUUGUUGGAGGAGUUAAAUCCUUUAGUAACGCAGCUAACGCGUGAAGUCAUCCGCCUGGGGAGUACGGUCGCAAGAUUAAAACUCAAAGGAAUUGACGGGUGCCCGCACAAGCGGUGGAUGAUGUGGUUUAAUUCGAUGCAACGCGAAAACCUUACCUACCUUUGACAUGCUAGGAACGCUGCAGAAAUGCAGCGGUGCCCGAAAGGGAACCUAGACACAGGUGCUGCAUGGCUGUCGU
rnacentral:rRNA from 1 species